AAAAGGGUUCAUUUGAUAAACUUUCUUGGUUGUGGGAUACGGUCAUUAUUAGGUAAUAUUGUUGGUGGACAAGAGCAGAUUGGUGUAAUGAUGAAGAUAUUUGACUCAUUUGCCACUUUCCUGCCAAAGCAUAUGGAAAAUAAUGUUGAAAUGAGAGAUAAUCUCCUAACUUGUAUUGUGUACAAGAUCUUGUGACAUCAUCAUACACAGAUAUGCUAAUAAAUCUUUUCACAUGAAU